rnacentral:rRNA from 1 species
AUUGAACGCUGGCGGCGUGCCUAACACAUGCAAGUCGAACGAGUGGCGGACUGGUGAGUGAUGUCUGGGCAACUGCCUGAUGUAGGGGGCUAACUACUGGAAACGGUAGCUAAUACCGCAUACCAUCGGAUGUGCCCAGAUGGGAUUAGCUAGUAGGGGGGGUAAAGGCUCACCUAGGCGACGAUCCCUAGCUGGUCUGAGAGGAUGACCAGCCACACUGGAACUGAGACACGGGCCAGACUCCUACGGGAGGCAGCAGUGGGGAAUAUUGAACAAUGGGCGAAAGUCUGACGCAGCAAGGCCGCGUGUAUGAAGAAGGCUUUCGGGUUGUAAAGUACUGUCAGCGGGGAGGCGUUACCCGCAGAAGAAGCAACGGCUAACUCCGUGCCAGCAGCCGCGGUAAUUC